GGGGCUGAUUCUGGAUUCGACGGGGUUUGCGAAACCCAAGGUGCAUGCCGAGGGGCGGUUGGCCUCGUAAAAAGCCGCAAAAAAAUAGUCGCAAACGACGAAAACUACGCUUUAGCAGCUUAAUAACCUGCUUAGAGCCCUCUCUCCCUAGCCUCCGCUCUUAGGACGGGGAUCAAGAGAGGUCAAACCCAAAAGAGAUCGCGCGGAUGCCCUGCCUGGGGUUGAAGCGUUAAAACGAAUCAGGCUAGUCUGGUAGUGGCGUGUCCGUCCGCAGGUGCCAGGCGAAUGUAAAGACAGACUAAGCAUGUAGUACCGAGGAUGUAGGAAUUUCGGACGCGGGUUCAACUCCCGCCAGCUCCACCA
rnacentral:tmRNA from 1 species